GGGUUGUGAGGUUAAGCGACUAAGCGUACACGGUGGAUGCCCUGGCAGUCAGAGGCGAUGAAGGACGUGCUAAUCUGCGAUAAGCGUCGGUAAGGUGAUAUGAACCGUUAUAACCGGCGAUUUCCGAAUGGGGAAACCCAGUGUGUUUCGACACACUAUCAUUAACUGAAUCCAUAGGUUAAUGAGGCGAACCGGGGGAACUGAAACAUCUAAGUACCCCGAGGAAAAGAAAUCAACCGAGAUUCCCCCAGUAGCGGCGAGCGAACGGGGAGCAGCCCAGAGCCUGAAUCAGUGUGUGUGUUAGUGGAAGCGUCUGGAAAGGCGCGCGAUACAGGGUGACAGCCCCGUACACAAAAAUGCACAUGCUGUGAGCUCGAUGAGUAGGGCGGGACACGUGGUAUCCUGUCUGAAUAUGGGGGGACCAUCCUCCAAGGCUAAAUACUCCUGACUGACCGAUAGUGAACCAGUACCGUGAGGGAAAGGCGAAAAGAACCCCGGCGAGGGGAGUGAAAAAGAACCUGAAACCGUGUACGUACAAGCAGUGGGAGCACGCUUAGGCGUGUGACUGCGUACCUUUUGUAUAAUGGGUCAGCGACUUAUAUUCUGUAGCAAGGUUAACCGAAUAGGGGAGCCGAAGGGAAACCGAGUCUUAACUGGGCGUUAAGUUGCAGGGUAUAGACCCGAAACCCGGUGAUCUAGCCAUGGGCAGGUUGAAGGUUGGGUAACACUAACUGGAGGACCGAACCGACUAAUGUUGAAAAAUUAGCGGAUGACUUGUGGCUGGGGGUGAAAGGCCAAUCAAACCGGGAGAUAGCUGGUUCUCCCCGAAAGCUAUUUAGGUAGCGCCUCGUGAAUUCAUCUCCGGGGGUAGAGCACUGUUUCGGCAAGGGGGUCAUCCCGACUUACCAACCCGAUGCAAACUGCGAAUACCGGAGAAUGUUAUCACGGGAGACACACGGCGGGUGCUAACGUCCGUCGUGAAGAGGGAAACAACCCAGACCGCCAGCUAAGGUCCCAAAGUCAUGGUUAAGUGGGAAACGAUGUGGGAAGGCCCAGACAGCCAGGAUGUUGGCUUAGAAGCAGCCAUCAUUUAAAGAAAGCGUAAUAGCUCACUGGUCGAGUCGGCCUGCGCGGAAGAUGUAACGGGGCUAAACCAUGCACCGAAGCUGCGGCAGCGACACUAUGUGUUGUUGGGUAGGGGAGCGUUCUGUAAGCCUGUGAAGGUGUACUGUGAGGUAUGCUGGAGGUAUCAGAAGUGCGAAUGCUGACAUAAGUAACGAUAAAGCGGGUGAAAAGCCCGCUCGCCGGAAGACCAAGGGUUCCUGUCCAACGUUAAUCGGGGCAGGGUGAGUCGACCCCUAAGGCGAGGCCGAAAGGCGUAGUCGAUGGGAAACAGGUUAAUAUUCCUGUACUUGGUGUUACUGCGAAGGGGGGACGGAGAAGGCUAUGUUGGCCGGGCGACGGUUGUCCCGGUUUAAGCGUGUAGGCUGGUUUUCCAGGCAAAUCCGGAAAAUCAAGGCUGAGGCGUGAUGACGAGGCACUACGGUGCUGAAGCAACAAAUGCCCUGCUUCCAGGAAAAGCCUCUAAGCAUCAGGUAACAUCAAAUCGUACCCCAAACCGACACAGGUGGUCAGGUAGAGAAUACCAAGGCGCUUGAGAGAACUCGGGUGAAGGAACUAGGCAAAAUGGUGCCGUAACUUCGGGAGAAGGCACGCUGAUAUGUAGGUGAAGUCCCUCGCGGAUGGAGCUGAAAUCAGUCGAAGAUACCAGCUGGCUGCAACUGUUUAUUAAAAACACAGCACUGUGCAAACACGAAAGUGGACGUAUACGGUGUGACGCCUGCCCGGUGCCGGAAGGUUAAUUGAUGGGGUUAGCCGCAAGGCGAAGCUCUUGAUCGAAGCCCCGGUAAACGGCGGCCGUAACUAUAACGGUCCUAAGGUAGCGAAAUUCCUUGUCGGGUAAGUUCCGACCUGCACGAAUGGCGUAAUGAUGGCCAGGCUGUCUCCACCCGAGACUCAGUGAAAUUGAACUCGCUGUGAAGAUGCAGUGUACCCGCGGCAAGACGGAAAGACCCCGUGAACCUUUACUAUAGCUUGACACUGAACAUUGAGCCUUGAUGUGUAGGAUAGGUGGGAGGCUUUGAAGUGUGGACGCCAGUCUGCAUGGAGCCGACCUUGAAAUACCACCCUUUAAUGUUUGAUGUUCUAACGUUGACCCGUAAUCCGGGUUGCGGACAGUGUCUGGUGGGUAGUUUGACUGGGGCGGUCUCCUCCUAAAGAGUAACGGAGGAGCACGAAGGUUGGCUAAUCCUGGUCGGACAUCAGGAGGUUAGUGCAAUGGCAUAAGCCAGCUUGACUGCGAGCGUGACGGCGCGAGCAGGUGCGAAAGCAGGUCAUAGUGAUCCGGUGGUUCUGAAUGGAAGGGCCAUCGCUCAACGGAUAAAAGGUACUCCGGGGAUAACAGGCUGAUACCGCCCAAGAGUUCAUAUCGACGGCGGUGUUUGGCACCUCGAUGUCGGCUCAUCACAUCCUGGGGCUGAAGUAGGUCCCAAGGGUAUGGCUGUUCGCCAUUUAAAGUGGUACGCGAGCUGGGUUUAGAACGUCGUGAGACAGUUCGGUCCCUAUCUGCCGUGGGCGCUGGAGAACUGAGGGGGGCUGCUCCUAGUACGAGAGGACCGGAGUGGACGCAUCACUGGUGUUCGGGUUGUCAUGCCAAUGGCACUGCCCGGUAGCUAAAUGCGGAAGAGAUAAGUGCUGAAAGCAUCUAAGCACGAAACUUGCCCCGAGAUGAGUUCUCCCUGACUCCUUGAGAGUCCUGAAGGAACGUUGAAGACGACGACGUUGAUAGGCCGGGUGUGUAAGCGCAGCGAUGCGUUGAGCUAACCGGUACUAAUGAACCGUGAGGCUUAACCUUACAACGCCGAAGCUGUU
rnacentral:rRNA from 1 species